AUUGAACGCUGGCGGCAUGCCUUACACAUGCAAGUCGAACGGUAACAGGUCGUCGGUUGCUGACGAAUGGCGGACGGGGGCGUAAUACAUACACACGUUCCCCAUCGUGUGGGAUAACGAGGCGAUAGCUUUACUAAUACCGCAUACGAUCUACGGAUGAAAGCGGGUGAUCUUCGAACCUCACGCGGACUUAGCGGCAGAUGGCAGAUUAGGUAGUUGGUGUGAUAAAAGCUUACCAAGCCGACGAUCUGUAGCUGGCCUGAGAGGAUGAUCAGCCACACUGGGACUGAGACACGGCCCAGACUCCUACGGGAGGCAGCAGUGGGGAAUUUUGGACAAUGGGCGAAAGCCUGACGCAGCCAUGCCGCGUGCAGGAUGAAGGCCUUCGGGUUGUAAAACGCUUUUGUAAGGAAAGAAAAGCCUUGUAAGAAUAUAGAGGCGUCAUGACGGUACCGUAAGAAUAAGCACCGGCUAACUACGUG
rnacentral:rRNA from 1 species